GUAAGAUAUGAACAGUCUAACCUCAUUAUUGAAUAAAAUAAGUAGUCUAUGAUAGGCCUUGCUCUUUUAAAUGAACUUCCAUUAUUUACUUAUUUUUCAGCGGAAUUUUGUGGCAGGGAUUAUGUAAGUAUAGGAACAAGUAUUUACAAGCUCUCCAACUCAUGCUUAUGCAAUCACAGUUUGAGGAUUUCAACACUCAGAGGAGAGCUGUUUGUUAAAAUGUGACAGCUCAUCAAAGAAAGCUGUACGCCACUCUAAAGAUUUGGCACUGUGUCAUCUUUUAUUGACUCAAUAACUGUUUAAAGCACCUGAAAUUCCUCAAAUCCUGAAAGCCUAUCAAUUUCAUUCAACAAUGCUCCCUUGCACACUUAAUAUCCCGAGCACUAUUCCAUUCUACCACCACCAGACAAUCGAUUUAUUCUGAAUUUCAGUCAAGACCUCGUUGGAUUCAUCCUUUCCCUGAAGCCUCUUAGGCAAACAGCCUGCGGAAUGGAAUGGUGAAUUCUUAUCCAUUUCUGUUGGGCAGUGACUCGUCUCUUCUCGGGUGUGACUUUGAUGCUUCAUCCUUAUUCACUGGGGGUGGAUGAAUUCUUAAGGCCCAGGCUGGCUGAAAAUAAAUUGACCAGGCAGGCUACUUGGAUGAGUUCCAAGAUGGUUUCCCAUCCCAUACACCUUCUAGUUUGAUGUCUCUGGAGAGUGAAAGACUGUUUUGUGACGAAAGCAAGACCUCAGCCUCCCAAGUUCCUCAGGGCCACUCCCCCCCCCCCCCACCAGAGAACGCUUAGACAGCAAUUAUCAGCUGUUUGGAAAUUAAUUGUGUAACAUGUAGCCUAGCAAAACUAACAGCCACAGGCCAUACUCGAUUGGCUACAUCCAGAUUAUCUGAAUGCCACAUUUUAACACUUAGUCCUUGAACCAUUUUUAGAGAAUUACAUGGAAAUGAUGUCAGUGGCAGCUAACCUCAGAUGGUUCAAUGGUGUAACUGGAGGACAGUUGAACGUACAUGGUUUAACGUACAUGACAUGUAGCCUACUGUCUCUCUAUCUGAGGGACUCCAUUGUCCAUCUAAUGGACAAUGAAAUGAUUCUGUAUGAAUGAAUGCUGCACUAAGACCUACUUGGAGGAUCUGAAAUGGGUGCCUCCAUAGGAACGGUUACAGUGAGGUCUGAUUUAACCUACCUGUGAUACCUCAGUUGUAAAUCACACGAGAUAACAUUGAUUGGGUGAUGACGAGGGGCUGUGGCUUUAUGUAGGGAGGGGGUGUAGCUCACAAUCUAAUUGAAUUAAAAAGGAAUGGACCACAACCCAGAUAAGAUUCUUAUUACUAAAUCCAAUGGAUCACAUCAAAGUCUUCAUAAAAGGGACCUUUUUAUUUACAGCUACAGAGACAAACCCUCAAGACCGUAAACAACAUAGCAUCUUUCCAUAUCUGGCUGUAUUUGUUCUGUGUCCUGAUUGUCUAGCCACGUCACACUGACCUGGCUGUGUGUGUGUGUGUGGUUAGCGAGCGGUGUCUUUAUCUCCACAUGACUGGAUUAGAUUAAAACAGAUUUCCACAGAGCCGCUCCCCAGAAUGACACACAGAACGACAGACAGACAGAAAGACAGCCCUGCUGGCUGGCCGGAUAGGCAGACUGGCAGGCCAGGUGGACGGACGGCUGGACGGCAGGCAAUCAGGCAGGCAGACAGACCGACAGACGGAUUGUAUGGGCGUACAUGAACAGAGGGAUUGAGAGAGAUUGGGAGAGGGAGGAUAUGAUGAAAGAGAAGAAUAAUUGUAAUUCAAGGUCUUUCUCUGCAGUCCUGUGUUCCCUUUGCCCUACUCCCGUCAAACUAUUGUAGUCAUAGCAUAAGUUGUGACGAUAUGUGUGUGUGUUUGUGUGUGUGUGCACAUUGGUAUGGUAAGUGCGUAUGAGACAUAACGUUCUCGUUAGUCCUAGAAAUCAUCCACUCCCUCACAUGAAAGGUAUUAAACCAUUCUGAUCUAUUAAUAAAAUAAUAAUUAAUUUCAUUUGACACACCUUACAGGACACUUAAGGAUACCUUACAUUAAAAGUACCUACAUUCAAGUGCAGGUUAAAUUGGAUUUAACCAUUGGAUUACUUACAUUGAUCCUAUCCUCUGGAAGAAAAAAAAAACAGUUUAAUUACACCAGAGGCCAAUAUUACUCUAGUUUUGACAUUAGCAUGCUAAUGCAGCUCUUAUUGAGUAGCAUAGUUGGGCUGUUCUGGAUUGCACAUUGACAGUUAUUGAUGGGCUAUCAAGAGUAUUCCCAGUGGGUGAGGAACUGCAGUGGAAAUGCGCAUUCUAGAAUGAGAUUGCACGUUUCAGACAGGGCCACACCCCAUGGCUAUAGAUGUAUACACUGCAUCACUCAUCAGAGUACACACUUUACUUUACACUCUAAUUGUAAAUUGGUUCUUUCUUGGUUUAUUUCAAUUAAUUCCCAUGUAACCAAAAACUAUACCUAGGUAAUAAUUAUUUUAUAACACUUUUAUAGUUUUAGUUUUGACAAAAUUCCAAACACUCUGAACCAGAUCAGAUGAGAAUUCACAAGCAAUGUUAGUUGCCUUCUUUUGAAAUGCCAUUAUACUGAGAAGUUAGCAACAGCCAUUGAGUGGGUUCUACUUCGUAGGUGCUGUGGUGGUGUGUAUCAGACAGACAUGGGCUCUGUGUGUGGGACUGAGUGUAGGAAGACAGACAUUGAGUGGGUUCUACUUCGUAGGUGCUGUGGUGGUGUGUAUCAGACAGACAUGGGCUCUGUGUGUGGGACUGAGUGUAGGAAGACAGACAUUGAGUGGGUUCUACUUCGUAGGUGCUGUGGUGGUGUGUAUCAGACAGACAUGGGCUCUGUGUGUGGGACUGAGUGUAGGAAGACAGACAUUGAGUGGGUUCUACUUCGUAGGUGCUGUGGUGGUGUGUAUCAGACAGACAUGGGCUCUGUGUGUGGGACUGAGUGUAGGAAGACAGACAUUGAGUGGGUUCUACUUCGUAGGUGCUGUGGUGGUGUGUAUCAGACAGACAUGGGCUCUGUGUGUGGGACUGAGUGUAGGAAGGCAGACAUGGUCAGUCUGUAAUCUCAAUAAUAACAGACAGACUUUAAAAACCCAUACAGCAGAUGUUGAUUUGAGAUCCCAGUACUCCAUAUAUUCAAGACCAGUUCUCUAUUAGCCUCAACUCUAUCUUGAAGAGUCCAGCCUAUUUGGUGCUUGGAUCAAUUCACUUGUGACUCAAGGCUGAGUUCAGACCCCUUAUCUCUAAGGGUUGGGACUGGGAUUGAGUCUUGUGCUCUUAGCGGCCUUGGGGUCUAGUCCACUCUCAUCAGGGCUUAGGCUGGGACUGGCUCUAGUCCUCAUAGUGCCUUGGUAAAGUCUGGACUGACAGUUAACAGUUUACAGUUCAACUAAUUUAACUUCCAUUGGUUCCAUUUAAUCUCCAUGUUAAACAAGCACUAGGAAAUGAACCCCAGAAGUUGUAUGUAACAGUAAACUUAGCAGUGCCAAUUCAGCAUGAACUAGUCCCAUCCAGAUAUUGAAAACCCUGGGUGCAUCCAAAUUGGCAUCCUAUUCUCUAUAUAUUGCACUACUUUUGACCAGAGCACCUGGUCAAAAAUAGUGCACUAUAUAGGGAAUAGGGUACCAUUUCCCCUGUGAUGGAAGGAGUACAUGGCAGGAGGGAUGCUGUGUCAUUGUGUAAUCUCCUGUUGAUUAAAUGGACUGCCACAGGUUUUGUUUUUCCCACAGCCCUGUAUCCCUGGCCCUGUAAGUGACCUAGUUAAAGACCCAGUGCUAUUGUGCCUUGCUGAAUUUCAGUCUCCCUAUAAGUAGUUGUACAUGGUGUGGAAGGUAGACAUACAUACACACCAGUGGAAGCUGCUGAGGGGAGGACAGCUUAUAAUAUUGGCUGGAAUGGAGUAAAUGUAAUGGCAUCAAACACAUAGAAACCAUGUGUUUGACACCAUUCCACUGAUUCCACUCCAGCCGUUACCAGGAGCCCGUCCUCCCCAAGUAAGGUGCCACCAACGUCCUGUGAUACAUACAUACAUACAUACAUACAUACAUACAUACAUACAUACAUACAUACAUAGGCCAACCUACUGUAUGCAUACACACAAGGUGGAAAAGUGGAAAGCGAAAGGUAGAGUGGAAGCUAGCGAGCAAGAGAGGGGGACAGACAGUGAGCGAGAUACUGUAGAGUUAGAGGAACAGGGUGGGUCUGGAAGAGGUGGGGCCUGCGCGUGCGUGCUGUCUGUGUGUGUGCUCUGUGUUCAGACAGCGUGGAUGUCUGGGGCCUCAGCAGACUGAAUGGAAUUUAUACCAUAUGUACCAGGCAUCCCAGGAAUGCACCCUAGGCCCAAAGAGCUGACCAACGGAAAGAGAGGAGAGAGAGAGGGAGAGAGAGAGGGAGAGAGAGAGAGAGAGAGAGAGGGAUCCAUCCAUUCUGCAGGAACAAACCUGUUGAGCGCAAGUCCUCCUGUUAGGGGAAAAAAUUCAGCAUAUUUUGCAAAAUGGCUGCUUGCUGUGGACACAUCUGUUUAACAUGGUUGUAUCUCUGGACCCUAUGGGCCCUGGUCAAAGGUAGUGCACUAUAAAGGAAUAGGGUGUCAUUUGGGACAGAUUCCAUAUGCAACGAUAAAGAUGAAUACACAGAUUUUGCCCAACUAGUUAUUGAAACGAGUUCUGCAAUAACUAUGUAAUUACUAUGUAGUUACACCAAGGCAACCCAGAAAUUAUUAACAAUUAUAUUUAACUACAUGGUAUACAGUGCAUUCAGAAGUAUUCAGACGCCUUCACUUUUUCCACAUUUUGUUACGUUGCAGCCUAAUCCUAAAAUGUAUUUAAUUGUUUCUUUCCCUCAUCAAUCUACACACAAUACCCCAUAAUGACAAAGUAAAAACAGGUUUUUAGAGAUGUUUGCAAAUGUAUUAAAAAUAUAAAACGGAAAUAUUGCAUUUACAUUAGUACUCAGACCCUUUACUCAGUACUUUGUUGAAUCAUCUUUGGCAGAGAUUACAGCCUCGAUCUUCUUACUAUGACACUACAAGUUUGGAACACUGGUAUUUGGGGAGUUUCUCCCAUUCUUCUCUGCAGAUCCUCUCAAGCUCUGUCAGGUUCGACUUGGAGCAUCGCUGCAUAAAUAUUUUGUAGGUCUAUCCAGAGAUGUUCGAAAUUCGUUCCGGGCUCUGGCUUGGCCACUCAAGGCUAUUCAGAGACUUAUUCCGAAGCCACUCCUGCAUUUUCUUGGCUGUGUGCUUAGGGUCGUUGUCCUGUUGGAAGGUGAACCUUCACCCCCAGUCUGAGGUCCAGGCCGCUCUGGAUCAGGUUUUCAUCAAGGAUCUCUCUGUACUGUCACCACCAUGCUUCACCGCAGGCAUGGUGCCAGGUUUCCUCCAGACGUGAUGCUUUUUUCCCCAAAGAGUUCAGUCUUGGUUUCAUAAGACCAGAGAAUCUUGUUUCUCAUGGUCAGAGUCCUUUAGGCGCCUUUUGGAAAACUCCAAGCUGGCUGUCAUGUGCCUUUUACUGAGGAGUGGCUUCUGUCUGGCCACUCUACCAUAAAGACCCGAUUGGUGGAGUGCUGCAGAGAUGGUUGUCCUUCUGGAAGGUUCUCCCAUCUCCACAGAGGACCUCUGGAGCUCUAUCAGAGUGACCAUCGGGUUCUUGGUCACCCCCCUGACCAAAGGCCCUUCUCCCCUGAUUGCUCAGUUUUGCCAGGCUGACAGCUCUAGGAAGAGUCUUGGUGGUUCCAAACUUCUUAAAUUCAAGAAUGAUGGAGGCCACUGUGUUCUUGGGGACCUUCAAUGCUGCAGAAAUGUUUUGGUAUCCUUCCCCCAGAUCUGUGCCUCAACACAAUCCUGUCUCUGAGCUCUACGGACAAUUCCUUUGACCUCAUGGCUUGGUUUUUGCUCUGACAUGCACUGUCAACUGUGGGACCUUAUAUAGACAGGUGUGUGCCUUUCCAAAUCAUGUCCAGUCAGCUGAAUUUACCACAGGUGGACUCCAAUCAAGUUGUAGAAACAUCUCAAGGAUGAUCAAAGGAAACAGGAGGUACCUGAGCUUAAUUUCCAGUCUCAUAGCAAAAGGUCUGAAUACUUAUGUAAGGAAGUGUGAGGAGCUUGAAGGGGAACAUGCACACAUGAACACACGCGGACACACACAGAUGGAAACACUCCUUCACACACACAUACACACACGGAAGGACACACACACACACACACACACAUUCAUACGGACAGGCACACACAGAUGCAGACCUAGAAACAACGUUUUUAUUCACACACACUCCUAUAUCCGGGAAGGGAAGGGCGAUGGCUAGACUGGUCUAGCCUGGCUCUCUGUCUCUCUCUUGUUCUCUCUCUCUCUCUCUCUCUCUCUCUCCCUCAAUCUUUCUUUCACUCUCUCUAUCUCCCUCUCAAUGUCUCUCUUUCUCUCUCUGAUUCUCUCUCUUCCUCCCUCUCUCUCUCCACACUUAUUCCUCUGUUGGUUUUAGAAGAGCAACAUUAACGAUGUAGCUAGUCAUGACACAUUGUUGAUAACCUUACAGCCCCCUUCGUUCGUUCAUUUUCUCUUACGAAAAAUGUAUCAACCCCUACAAAAAUGUCCAUGAAUUAUAAUCCCCAUAAAAAUUCCUAUGUCCUGUUGCUGCAGGAAUAUUUUCCUGCUUUAGCAAACGGUCUCAAAUUAAGAGGAGGACUAAAGAAAGAUUACAGGAAGAAAAGGAUCAGUGCGUGUGAAGCUGAUGACCUGGGAUGCCAUACAAAUACAUAGACAGACACAGACAGGCACACAGCCUUGAUGAUCAGCUAAUGACACACACACAUACACAGCUGUCAUACAGGAUGAGUGUGUUGCGGUGUGUGUUGCGGUGUGUGUGUGUGUGUGUGUGUGUGUGUGUGUGUGUGUGUGUGUGUGUGUGUGUGUGUGUGUGUGUGUGUGUGUGUGUGUGUGUGUGUGUGUGUGUGUGUGUGUGGGGCAGGAUGUCUGCCUCUGUCCCUCUGACGUCUGGGAGCCGGAUACCCCCUGACACACACACUUCCUGUUUACCUCCAUAACACACACACCAUAACAACUAAUUAACAACAAAAUCUGAGUUGUUUCCCGGUUACAGGUGUUCUUUCAUAACACGUAACCGUGUCAUAGUGCUAAUUCCUGUCCCCUUCUUCCAGUUCCUCCUACAUCAUCACUUCCUAUUCAGGGGUGUAGAUGCAUAUGAAUGAAAUCAGUGCUAUCAAGCAGACAGCAAAGAGCUCAAAGCAAGCUGUGUGUGUGUGUGUGUGUGUGUGUGUGUGUGUGUGUGUGUGUGUGUGUGUGUGUGUGUGUGUGUGUGUGUGUGUGUGUGUGUGUGUGUGUGUGUGUGUGUGUGUGUGUGUGUGUGUGUGUGUGUUCACACCAGAUGACUCACCGUAGCAUAAUUGCUGUCAGAUUGAUGUUGUCGGAGGUGGUUUGGUAAAAUGGCAACGCUUACAGUAGCUGAGAUCAGAUGUCUACAGCAUUUGCUGAAACGCAUUCACACACACUAACAUGCAAACACUAUAACAUAUGUUGAAACAACAUGUGUAGUGGGUAAGCGCACGCAAGCAACCAACUACAUACACACAUGCACACAUUGAAAGGAUGUACACACACAUUGGAACAUUGAGACAUACACGGACUCUCUCCUCCUCAGUUAGCAGUGAGUGGACGUGGUUCCUGGUUGAUGCAUAUGCAUGGUGCUCUUAUGAAUAAUUCACUGAAGGCCUGUGUGAUAUUGCAGUGAAUUUCUAAUGGGAUAGUUUGGAAAGUGUGUAUCUGUCUCAGAGAUCCAUAUGACCACCACCACUGCUGCUUAUGCCUCCAAGGCCUACUCACAAUUUUUUUGUCCUGUUGCUCUUCUCACUCCCUAUAUUUCUCUCACUUUCAUCCCUUUCUUUUUCUCACCUCUCUCUCUGCUCUCUCUCCCUCUCUAUGUAUCUCUCUCUUAUCUUUUCCUCUCUUUCUCUCUCUCUUUCUCUCUCUCUCUCUGCUCUCGCUCUCCCUCUCUAUGUAUCUCUCUCUCAUCUUUUCCUCUCUCUCUCUCCCUCUCUCUCUCUUCUCUGCGUCACUUAUUUCAGGCAUUAGUUGACAACCUCUACACUACAGAGCGAAAAAUACUAAGUAAUAUUUCCCUCUGGGGAGUCAUUUUAUAUAAUAAAUCAAAUAUAUAUUUAUUCAUUGUCUUUGAAUUUAUGAGAAGUUGUUAUAUUGGCAUGCCAUGGGUCAAUCUAAUCUCUAUGGUGUCACAUUACUGCCGUAAUGUUGUAAAUGAACUGAACAUGAGUGGCAUUUGCAACAUAAGAUAUAAAUCCUAUGGGAUGUCAAAACACAUCCGGUUGCAGUGACAGUGACGUGAGACAGAGAGAUGUUUCCACGUUGCAGUGACUCGUCUGGCCCCCCUCUCCUCCUCCGUUAGCAUUGUCAACUGGCAUUUCAUAGCCCAAAUGGAUUGUGUGUAUUCCCAGAAGGCUCGGCGGUUUUCCCUUUCAGAGAUGACUUCCUGCAGUCAGUUAGAGAAGAGAACACUGGUUCAUAACUCAGACCACAUACACUGUUAUUCACUACAGAGAGGGAGGGGGGCGUGAGGGGG
rnacentral:lncRNA from 1 species